UGCAAUAGCAGUGUAGACAUAAGUGUAGUUUUUCUGGGAACGCGGCUGUUUUUCUGGAAAAACUCUGCGGUGUAGACAUACCAUCACACCAAAUAAUGUACAGAGUUCUUCAGAUAAAGGAUUACAUAGUUACUAAAAGACUCAACUUAGUUUGCAGUGCAGACAUUGUCUAAUCACGGGAAGCAAGGUGAAAUAGAAGCAUACAGAACUUACAAGCAAAUCAGUAUACAUCAAAUCAUUGUGUCAUACGUAUAUUUUUAUAACCAAUACUAAAAUAUUACAUUUUGGCUGCAGAUUCAUAUAUAGGUUUGAAGAAAUGUUUGGCAUUUUAUCUGUUAUUGCAUCUCCCAUAAAAAACGAACGGAAUACUACAGGUUUUUACAAAAAAACUACAUUAUGGAGAUGAGCUGUCAUUGUGGAGUCAGAAGAACCUCCUAGUAGUUUUGCCAUCAUCAGUAAGUAGAUAAGGAGAAGAGAAUUCAUAAUAGCCCAGUGUAAGAUCAGUAUGGGGUGCAUCGGAAUACAUAAGUUUAAAAGGUGAGACUGAUUAAGGACUUUAAAACCAGUAUAUUAAGGCUGUGUACAAAAGGAAAGAAACAGUAAAAUGGGGAAAUUGAAUCGGCAGGGAAUGGAUCUCUAACAGGUUGUUUCCAUUUUUAACAGCUGUUUCUGUUGGAAUGAGGUUUGUAAAGGAAGAGAAAGCUGAAGGGAGAUGUCAAGAAGAAAAAAGGGACAAAAGAAAAAUUCUAGGGCGAGGGAUAGGUAGGAUGGGUUUGAUUUAAAUCUGUAGUCAGGAAGAUCCGAUUUAAUCAUGGUUUUUUACAUAAGUGCAUUUUUGUUGGUUGUUACAACCUUAAUACAUGUUCUUCAUAACUCAGAGAUGUAGGUUUUGUUUUUAGAAGAUACACAUUAUAUAUUUUUAAACAGUGAUUUAUUUUGAAAACUUUUCAAAUUAGUUUUAUAGCUAAUCAGAAAAUGAAUGAUUGUUUAUUUCAUUUACCAAAGAUAAUUGAAGCAGAUAGUUCAUCUCCAAUUUAACAGGUUAGUCAUUAAUAUUUGGAGGAUUUUCUUGCCCUGCUGUAUUAGGAG